UGGGUGAUGGCGUGCCUUUUGUAGAAUGAACCGGCGAGUUACGAUUUGAUGCAAGGUUAAGCAGUAAAUGUGGAGCCGUAGCGAAAGCGAGUCUGAAUAGGGCGUUUAGUAUUUGGUCGUAGACCCGAAACCAGGUGAUCUACCCUUGGUCAGGUUGAAGUUCAGGUAACACUGAAUGGAGGACCGAACCGACUUACGUUGAAAAGUGAGCGGAUGAACUGAGGGUAGCGGAGAAAUUCCAAUCGAACCUGGAGAUAGCUGGUUCUCUCCGAAAUAGCUUUAGGGCUAGCCUCAAGUGAUGAUUAUUGGAGGUAGAGCACUGUUUGGACGAGGGGCCCCUCUCGGGUUACCGAAUUCAGACAAACUCCGAAUGCCAAUUAAUUUAACUUGGGAGUCAGAACAUGGGUGAUAAGGUCCGUGUUCGAAAGGGAAACAGCCCAGACCACCAGCUAAGGUCCCAAAAUAUAUGUUAAGUGGAAAAGGAUGUGGCGUUGCCCAGACAACUAGGAUGUUGGCUUAGAAGCAGCCAUCAUUUAAAGAGUGCGUAAUAGCUCACUAGUCGAGUGACACUGCGCCGAAAAUGUACCGGGGCUAAACAUAUUACCGAAGCUGUGGAUUGUCCUUUGGACAAUGGUAGGAGAGCGUUCUAAGGGCGUUGAAGCAUGAUCGUAAGGACAUGUGGAGCGCUUAGAAGUGAGAAUGCCGGUGUGAGUAGCGAAAGACGGGUGAGAAUCCCGUCCACCGAUUGACUAAGGUUUCCAGAGGAAGGCUCGUCCGCUCUGGGUUAGUCGGGUCCUAAGCUGAGGCCGACAGGCGUAGGCGAUGGAUAACAGGUUGAUAUUCCUGUACCACCUAUAAUCGUUUUAAUCGAUGGGGGGACGCAGUAGGAUAGGCGAAGCGUGCGAUUGGAUUGCACGUCUAAGCAGUAAGGCUGAGUAUUAGGCAAAUCCGGUACUCGUUAAGGCUGAGCUGUGAUGGGGAGAAGACAUUGUGUCUUCGAGUCGUUGAUUUCACACUGCCGAGAAAAGCCUCUAGAUAGAAAAUAGGUGCCCGUACCGCAAACCGACACAGGUAGUCAAGAUGAGAAUUCUAAGGUGAGCGAGCGAACUCUCGUUAAGGAACUCGGCAAAAUGACCCCGUAACUUCGGGAGAAGGGGUGCUCUUUAGGGUUAACGCCCAGAAGAGCCGCAGUGAAUAGGCCCAAGCGACUGUUUAUCAAAAACACAGGUCUCUGCUAAACCGUAAGGUGAUGUAUAGGGGCUGACGCCUGCCCGGUGCUGGAAGGUUAAGAGGAGUGGUUAGCUUCUGCGAAGCUACGAAUCGAAGCCCCAGUAAACGGCGGCCGUAACUAUAACGGUCCUAAGGUAGCGAAAUUCCUUGUCGGGUAAGUUCCGACCCGCACGAAAGGCGUAACGAUUUGGGCACUGUCUCAACGAGAGACUCGGUGAAAUCAUAGUACCUGUGAAGAUGCAGGUUACCCGCGACAGGACGGAAAGACCCCGUGGAGCUUUACUGUAGCCUGAUAUUGAAAUUCGGCACAGCUUGUACAGGAUAGGUAGGAGCCUUUGAAACGUGAGCGCUAGCUUACGUGGAGGCGCUGGUGGG
rnacentral:rRNA from 1 species